AUUGAACGCUGGCGGCAUGCCUAACACAUGCAAGUCGAACGGCAGCACAGUUGCUUGCUGCUGUUCGCGAGUGGCGAACGGGUGAGUAAUACGUAGGAACCUGUCCCUUCGUUUGGGAUUGCCUGGAGGAAGCCGGAUUUAUUCCGCAAACGCACUACGUCUGACAGGGGGGGCAUUGGAACGUUCGAGCUAUCGGGUUUGAAGGCGCCGAUUUCGGACUUGUUAGUUGGGGGGGUAAAGGCCUACGAAGGCGACGAUCGGUAGCUGGUCUGAGAGGAUGAUCAGCCACACUGGAACUGAGACACGGUCCAGGCUCCUACGGGAGGCAGCAGUGGGGAAUGGUGGACAAUGGGCGAAAGCCUGAUCCAGCCAUACCGCGUGUGUGAAGAAGGCCUUCGGGUUGUAAAGCACUUUUGUCGGGAAAGAAAAGCUUGAGCCUAAUACGGAGCGGGUAUGACGGUACCGGAAGAAUAAGCACCGGCUAACUACGUG
rnacentral:rRNA from 1 species